AUGUCGUCUGACGAUGGAAAAAAUUUCAUUAUGUGCGAAUACUGUGAAGACCAGAGCGGCCAGUGCGACAGAAAUUUCCUUGUUGAUGAUAGGCGAUUCAGCAUCAAGCUGGAUGAGACCUUCGAAUUCGAUACACGCAUCCCCUGCCAUGCAAGAAUUUUUGUCUUGGAUAAGAUAGGUUUUAAGGAUAUGGAAACUAUGGAGGUAAAGGGAGUUUACCUGAAAACUGAGCAUGGUUAUACUUUCAACGUCAAAGUAUACAAUGCACACACGUACACCUAUUUUGAAUGCAAAACUUGGCAAGCACUAUGCAAGGCUUAUGCAUUUGAGCCUGGUAUGGUUAUUACCUCUGAUAUUCGUCCGGAAGAUGAUAUUGAAGGUAAUAGAGACAUAUGGGUCGAUGUGCAGACGCCUCCAGUUCUACCAUUAUCUUAUUUCCAUUCAAGCAAACAUGUCCGGCACUUGGUGGACAUGACCUACUACUGUCCCGGAGCUGAACUAAACUGCGAGGAGAUAAGUCAUUAUGUUUCAUGGCUUGAGGAUCUUCAUACUGUGAAGACAAAUUUUCUUCCUGCACUUAGAAAUGUUAGUACUCAAAACGUGCGACCAAUAGUGAUGGUAUUGAACUACGGUCACAUCUAUUUAGGAAUGAUGGUAAUAUUUUUACUAUUUGUCCUCAGUGCAUCUUUUGCAUACAUAAUUUUUUUUCUAACUUUCAUUGCUAAGUAUAUUAAUUUUAAUUAA
rnacentral:rRNA from 1 species